GACGUAGGGAGCAAGCGUUGUCCGGAAUUACUGGGCGUAAAGAGCUCGUAGGCGGGAUCGUAAGUCUUAGAGUAAAUCUCACGGCUCAACCGUGGGGCCUUCUGAGAUACUGCGAUUCUUGAGGAUGUCAGAGGAAAGUGGAAUUCCCGGUGUAGCGGUGAAAUGCGUAGAUAUUGGGAAGAACACCGAUGGCGAAGGCAGCCAUCUGGACCGACACUGACGCUGAGGCGCGAAAGCGUGGGGAGCAAACAGG
rnacentral:rRNA from 1 species